ACGAACGCUGGCGGCGUGCUUAACACAUGCAAGUCGAACGAUGAAGCGGUGCUUGCACCGUGGAUUAGUGGCGAACGGGUGAGUAAUACGUGAGUGACCUACCUUUGACUCUGGGAUAAGCCUGGGAAACUGGGUCUAAUACCGGAUACGACCAAUCUCUGCAUGGGGUGUUGGUGGAAAGCGUUAUGGAGUGGUUUUAGAUGGGCUCACGGCCUAUCAGCUUGUUGGUGAGGUAAUGGCUUACCAAGGCGACGACGGGUAGCCGGCCUGAGAGGGUGACCGGCCACACUGGGACUGAGACACGGCCCAGACUCCUACGGGAGGCAGCAGUGGGGAAUAUUGCACAAUGGGCGCAAGCCUGAUGCAGCGACGCCGCGUGAGGGAUGACGGCCUUCGGGUUGUAAACCUCUGUUAGCAUCGAAGAAGCGAAAGUGACGGUAGGUGCAGAGAAAGCGCCGGCUAACUACGUG
rnacentral:rRNA from 1 species